ensembl:lncRNA
CUCGGACAGAAGAGGGAGUUGAAAUGGGGACCUUCCCAGCUUCAGCCCCCAGGAGAGAUGACUUUUCUUUCUUUAUCAGGCUACAACUUUUAAAAGGAGAAAAAUAUUUUUAAGAAAGAAAAAGCAGAAAAAAAGAAAACUUUUAAAGGAUGGAAGGGAUCCAGCUCUUUAAGCCACAAUAAAACUGCUCAUCACUCAGGAAGUGUGUUAGCCAAAACUACGAAAAGAAAUUCCUUCUUGACCGCCGUCGUUCCCAUGGUUGCAGUUCAUCCCCAAGUGCAGACCACAGACACAGAAAUCUGCGUCCCCCAGGCAUCUGCACAGCUAAGAAAUCGGAAGCGGCUGCCAGCCCCUCACCCUCGGGACUUUUACUGGUCCUGCGCCCAAUGAGCAGGUGAGGGGCGGCACAGAAAGACCUUCAUCGCCUUUAAUGGCUCUCAGAGUAUAAGAGCUCCCGGGCACUGUGGGACCUGGGUUCUGAGGUUCCCCUCGGGCGGCUUCCGGCCCGGCCCAGGGAACCAGCAGCUGCGGCUCUCCACAGAGUGCACGGGCAGAGGACCCUGCAGACCCCUGCUGAGAGGAAGCCGGAGACACGGCCUCAGGUGCAGGCCUUAGCUCAGCACACAGCUCUAUCUGCAGAGUGGCUCCCACAGCCUGGGCGUCACUGAGGAGACACACGCUGCACAGGGCCCGCUGGCCGGGCCCAACCUGGCCAAGGGAGGUGAUCACGCACCCAACCACAGGGCGUGCGGAAACUGGGGUGACUCCCUGGCACCUGGACGGGCUCAGAAGGGCCUUUUCAGUCCGUCCUGGGUGUCCAGCCUGUGACCACCAGCAGCUCCCUCCUGCUUGGACCUGAAGGCAGCUCCCUGCAGCAUCCAAGGACAUGGGUCACCCCUGCCCACCUGCCCUGGGCCUGGUCUCAAGUCAAAGCCGCCAGAGGUCCCCGUCCAGAAGCAGCGCUGUUUCCUCGCUGCCCCGCAUCCCCGGUGGCCUGGCCUGCCGGUCGCCCUCCAGUGAGACCCCACUCUGAGGCCUCAGGCUGGCACAGGCACCGAAACGCCCCCAAACGCCGCAGAAGCAGAGGAAAGGACACCUGCUUUUCAGCAAAGCCACUCCCUGGGUCACUCCUCCACGGGGCAGAGAUCUGUGAGAACCAUAAACUUGCAUUUUCUUCAGAAAGCACCUUCUUCUAUCUAACUGUGGAAGCCUUCUUAAAUAAGUACAAUACUGUAAUGUAAAUGCUAACUUCGGCCCCCAGUACACUCGCCAGCAAGGAAAGGAAUUCACAGGCGAGCACUCCACGUCAGCGCUGAAAAGAACUAGGAUGAUCCGUGUGCUCAGGCAGAGCGAUCUAAAGCAACACAUGGUAGGGACUGUCAGCGGACGCUGCCUCACUGUGAGCCUGCAGGAAAGGACCUGAGUGUAUUCAGAUGGUGACAGUAAGUUCUAACAAACUUCCCACACGCAGAUAUAAAUCCAAUCACAUCAGUAAAAAUAUCAGUAAAAACUGACUCUUACCCAAAGGGAUUACUGGCAAAGGCUUCGAGCCAGGGAGACCAAGGAGAGCACCCACUCGGGGAGGCCCAGAGGGCAGGGUGGGCUGCAGCUCCUGAGGGACCUGGAGCAGCUGAGGCUGAGGCGGCAGCACGGGCAGCGAGGCAGAGUGACUGUAGUGGAGCAGGACUAUACUCCCAGCAGUCUGGGGGGCUGAGGAAGGAGGAUCCAAGCACAAGCCCAACCUGGGCAACUUAGCGAGACCUUGUCUCCAAAUAAAAAGGGCUGGGGAUGCAGCUCAGUGGGAAGGCCCUGGGUUGGCUCCCUGCACCCCCGACACACACAUGCACACUCACACACAAGUGACUGCAGGACGUGUGCUCUCUGCCCCACCAGCAAGGGGAGCUCCAUGAGGAAGCUCAGUGAGUGUGAGGUUCGGCCACCAGCUGACGCAUGGGCGUUCGCCGCCGGGACAGACACCCUCAGGAAGCAGCCCCAGCCAGGACGCCAUGUCCCAGCCCACCGGCAGGCAUCCUGGACUGGAUCCCAGCCCCUCGAGCCACUGUGGGCUCUGGGCUCAGGACGCGAGGUGCCGCCCUGCAGGCCACCCGGGCCCCCCGGGCCCCGUGCCUGACCUUGGCCUUCCUGCUGCCCCCCGCCUUUUAAAGGUUUUCCUGGCAGCCUUGCCAUUUUGCUUCUGGUAGUGGCUUUUACAGAACCGGCUCUUUGUUUACGGGCCAGGACGCCACAAUUGCAGCAGCACAUGAGAUGUUCUAGAUGUUCCCGGCAGCUUCUCUUCAGCAUCAAAUAUUAAACUCCUGCCAUCGGCAGAGUUUGGACCUGGGGUGGGGCCAGCAGGAAGAGCUCGGGCGCAGAGACCUUGGCCUGACCUCAGAUCCAGGCAGGAGGGUGCUCGCCCGUGUCCCGCCCCAGGGACCGAGCUCCGAGAGAGCAAGCCAGCCCAGCGUCCGGCUCUGGCUCAAGGGCCCCAGGGCUGGGCUGGAAACAGAAUCCAACUGUGCCUCUCGAGGCCUCCAGCUGAAGCAGCUCUUUUCUUUUUCUUUUGCCUUUUCUUUUCUUCUUCUUCUUCUUUUAUUUUUUCUAAUUUUGAGACAAGGUCCUCCUGAGUCCCUUAGCUGCCCGAGGCUAGGCUCAAACUUACGAUCCUCCUGCUUCAGCAUCCCGGAGUGCUGGGGUCACAGGUGUGCAGCACCUCGCCUGCUGAGCAGCUCCUGGGCAGCAUUUCUGAGUCUCCACCGACUGUCACCUGAGCCCGAGGACUGCACACCGGCCCUGGAGGCCACUGUGCCUGCAGACGGCAAAAGGCGACACAUAGACACCAGGCAGUGACGGUAACACUGGCCGGGCCCACGCACUUCCAGCUUUGCUCCACCAUGCCCUUCCACCAUGACAUUCCUGCCUUGGAGCAGCCGAUCAGGGACUGAAUCCCCUGCAACUUUCCAUCUGCAUUUCCUGUUAUUCUCCAAUAAACAAAACGACAAGUCCUGAACCCAGGAUGACCACCCCAGGCGGAGGCCCGGGCUGAGCGGCUCCCUGGCUGUGGACAGGCUCCUGGGGACGGCCGAACCCUCCUCCUCUGCCCACAGACAGAGCCCGAAGCGCGUGUUCAGCGCAUGCCCUACCUGCACACUGCCACAGGACUACCUCGAAGCCGUCCCUGUCGGCGUGGUGCUUUGGGCCUCAAGUGUCUCCCAAGCACCGCUGUCUCAGGGGUUUGUCACGGUGACGGAAAGCUGGCCGAUGCGGACAUCUGGAGCCGCGCAGAGGAGGAUCUGCUCGGUGUCACUUCGGCACAGCCUGGGGGUCCUGUCCUAGGGCGCUGGCUUCUCAAGCUGGAGCAGACCUGGCCCAGCCUCUUGUCACCAAUCGCCGGCCACCUUGUUUGGAGGAUUCGAGUUCUGGGGUGCCAACCUAACCCGGCUCAACCCACAGAGACCAGAGCUGGGCCAAGGCUGAGUGUGAAGUAAGCCGCAUGGCGACACCUGGGCAAUGGCCUUCCCUGCCCCGCUGUGUCCCCGAGUCCUCUCCCCUCGUGGGCAGGUUCCAGUUUAAGGAGGUGGGAGGCUUGCCCCACAGAGCUGCAUGCGGCCUCAGGAAUGUGGAUUUGUGAACAGGGUUCUGGCUGCCCAGGGCCCUUCCAGGCUCUCAUCCUGUUCAAAGAAUUGUAUGGAGAGGCUUCACACGCAUUAAAGGUAAGAAGGGUGGGAGAAGUGCUCUGAAAGAAGCCCUGCUGUCAAAAGUCACAGGGCCCGAGGCUCAUGACCGCGCCCUGCCCAUCCUCCUCCCAAACUCAGAUCCAGGCCGCCCACCAAGUCCUGCUUGGGCUGUGCCGGAAGAAGCACAGGCAGCAUCCUCUGCUCAGUACCGGGCUGGCCUGGAAGCCGCUCUGCACACAUCCUGGCCUUGAUGGGCAGGUCACACCCCGGCCCAGCACCCCGCCUCGUCCGGACCCCAGCCCCAGUCUCAUGCCGUCCCCUGUGUGGUCGGCUUCCCAUCACCGUUACAAUGCUAGAGGCAACAUCUCAGGCAGAGGAAAGGCUUAGUCUGGGCCUCCGAGGUUCCAGCCAUGGUCCCUGGGCCUGGCUGCCUGGCAUUAGGGCAGAGGGGUGGCAGGAAAUGGAGAGAGGAGCCAAGGCCCUGGGGCCCCUCGGUCAGAGGCCUGUGGGGCACCCUAGAGAGGCCUGGGAGGACGCCUGGUGCACUCCUCACUGGUGCAGGACGGCCCAGGGUCUGGGCCAGGCAGGAGAUCUGCAUUUUCAGGUCCGCACCCAUGAACCAUUUUAAAGAAAGGAAAGGAAAGUUCUGAGAGGGAAGGGUGGGACUGGACCAGGGCCAGGGAGUCCAGGGCUGGGGCAAUGGACCCCCUCUUCUCAUAGAGAGGUGAGUGAGGCCUUAUACUGCUGGCUGCAGGCAGAAACUGCAACGUGCCAGAAAGGAGUUCCUCAGGGAAACGGGAAUAAUACUACUGAAGCCAGCACCGACAGAUGGGGUCAUCUCCUGCCUUGUCUGUGUAGCAGGUCACUGCCCAACACCCAGAAGGGGAGAAUGGCGGUUGCUGAGAUGCCACUGGAAAAGCCAGGCUUUCCUUCAUGCAAGAGAGCACAUGGUUGGCCUCCUUAGGGUUCAAGCACUGUGACCCUUGGCCAGAGAAGUCUGGGAAGGACUCCAGGCCCCCCGGAGCAGAUUCUGAGUCCCUGGCAGCUGCCUGGCACACAAGGGUCCUGCAGACAGCAAGGACUGCAUGGCUGUGUGACCCAUGCACAAAGCUUACUGCAACAUUCACACAGAAUCCCUGGGCAGAUGGUGGGGCUCGUGCCCUGGCAGCCCAGAGAGCAGAUGCCCAGGGCUCCCAGGUUGCCUGGGGUGCAGCCACAGAGCACCUACACCUGCCCCCCAGCCAUGGUGCAGCAAUUGUCUUUGGAGCCAGCUGCAAGGGAAGUGGCCAGCAGCUCCUGCCCAGUGCCCUGGGCAAACUUCCCACCACACUCUCAUUCUUCAGGUGCGCGGGGGCCUGGGACUCAGCUGCUCCCCUACUGCACGGCCUGCGUGGGAAGAAGCCCACUCCCCAGGCCACUGCAGUGCAUGGGAGGAAGGGCCCUGAGAGGACGUCCCCUCCCUGGACAACCAUCUGCUAGGCUGCCAGGGGCUGCCAGGAAGACACAGGCCCAGAGGGCCAGAGAGUUCCGGACGCCGUCUGGCGUUCCCACUGUGGGAAGGCACUGACCUGGCCAUUGCUCCUCGGAGAUCCUGGGCAGAGAGAUGGGGGCGGCACAGAAAGCUCACCCACAGGCCCGAGGCCUGUUUUUAUAAAUAAAGCUUUAUUGGAACACUGACGCUAUCCUUCCUUUGCAUCUUGUCUGUGGCUGCUUUCCUGCUACAGGAACAGUGGAAUCCUUGGGGCAACCAGGCUCAGGAUGUUUGCCAGACGGCAGGCGAUGCUGUCCCCCAGAAGAUGUAGCUUGUCCUGGCCGGUGGCUGACUCUGCCGUGGGUAUGCACACCAGCUCCUGUGUGGGAUUCCAGCGAUGAGGCAGAAAGGCCGCACGCGUUGUGGCAGCAGCAAAGGCCACUUGCCUGUGUGGCCAGGAUGUGACAGAGAAGGAAGAGAAGGGCCCGGUCCCCCACGUCUCCAAGGGCUCCCCAGGGACCUCGCCCUCAGCCUAUCACUGGGCUUGUCCGGCCUGGAGGAGAAUUUCUGCAGAACCAGUGAGCUCAUCCACUUGAGUGAGGGCACGGGAGGCCAGGAGGAGGCCCUGAGCGCUGUCCACCGCGAGCCAUGUUGGGGUGAACAGGAGUGCCUGCUGGAUCCAAGCCUGCCCCAGAGAAUACAAGAUCUGGGAGCUCUUCUGAGGAAAGAGACGGAACCCCAGCUGGUCACUGAGCAGAUGCUGCAGCCCCCCGGUGGGUCCAUGCACACCAGGAGCUCCGCUCGCCAGGUGCUGGCGGCCUCCUCCCGGUGUUUGCUGGUGAAGACGAGCCUGGACUUCCUUCAAAGUACGGCUGUCGCUGGCACAGGAGUGGGGGUUGGGGGUGACAGCUUGAGGGGGUUGUUUUUCCUUGUUAGCAAGUUCUGCGUUUAACAUUUAAAAUUAUGACAACUGAUGCAAUGUUUUCUUGAAAUGGUGAAGCUAUUUUAAACCAUUCAGCUGGACAGGAGUUUGUAGUUUAUACUGGUACACGUUUAAAACACUUCGCAAUUAAUUAUUGGGCUUAAAAAAUUAAAGCUAUAAUCUGGGCGUGGUGCUGCACACCUGUAAUCCCAGCACUUGGGAGGCUGACACAGGAGUAUCGCUGUGAGUUUGAGGCCAGCCUGGGCAAUAUGGUGAGACCCGUGUCAAUCCCCCCAGAUCAAAGCUGUAAAUUUAUUCCGAUUUCUGUCUUGCACUUCAUUUCAGUGGAAAUAAAGGGCCGGCUAGGAGCACUCUGACUGGCAGUGACGAGACAAUGACAGCUUUUGCUGAAGGCGAAACCUGCCGCCGUCAUUCUUGGGGAUCGGUAGCCUUUCCCCAGUGGGCUUGAGGCCCGGCGCGAGGUCCGUUCUUCACCAGGAGUGCGAAUUCUUCUCUCUAAAUGCAUGUUGACGUUUAGUUGGCACACAGUAAUCACACGCAUGUGGGUUUCGGUGCCGCACUUCGGCACGCGGCACGGAAUGAUCCGUGACUGACGCAGCCAUCGCCUCAAAUGGCAGUCGUUUCUUGGGGGAGGCCCCCGCAUCCCCUCCCUCACUGUUCUGAAAUACUCAGCUGAUCACGGCCCACCACACUUAUCCAGCCCUGCUGUCCUCCCACCCGCCUGCACCCCAACGCCCACGACCGCCCCUCUCCCCGUCCGGGGCUCGGGAGUCUCAGUGUCCCCUUCUUCUAGGAGAAACCUCUUAGCUGUGAUAAAAACAUCCCACGAGUGUUUGCUUUGUUUUGUUUUGGUUGGGUUUGGCGUUGUCUUUCUGCCCUGGCUCUUUCACCUGGAGGGGCGGCCCCCAGUUCCGUGAGAAAUGGAAGGCGGCCGCCCUGAAGAAGCCGAGCGCGCUCUCUGCCCAGGACCCCAGGCUGCAGCCCGCGUGCCCACAGGCGGGAUGCGCACGGCGCCCAGCUGUCGGGAGGGGGGUCCCGGGGCGCCAGGCGUGGACAGUGACAGGGCCGGCAGGGUCCACGGGGCGGGGAGGGGACGGUGUCUGGGGCUGAGGGCCAUGGGGCAGCAGAAUGAAUUAGCAGCUUCUCGUUCUCCUCCCGGAAUCCCCCAGGCCCUGGGACUUUUUGACCAGGAUGACGACCUUCAAGGACUGGGUGGUCGCUCUGACCACAGUGCAGAGUGGGGGAAGGAAAGGAGACGUGUCAGGAGGAGAUUCCGUGCCCGCCUGGACCAAGGAGCGUCAGAAGAAUGGGGAGGAGAAGGCGGGACCCAAGGCUAUUCAGGGAACCAAGUCAAGAGGCCCACAUUCAUCCCUGACAGCAUUAUUUAUCAGCAAUACACGUGUUUGUUUUGUUUUAUUUUGUUUUGGAGACAGGGUCUCACUAUAUCAUCCAGGCUGGUCUUGAACUCCCAGCAAUCCUCUUGCUUCGGCCUCCAGGUAACUAGGAUUACAGGUUUGCACCACCAUAUCUAGUUUAUACGUAUUUUUUGUUAUGUAUCAGCUAACAAAUUUAAUUUUAAAAACAAAUCCUGUUCUUUAAAACUUUUGUAAAACCAGGUGUUGUAAAA